UAUCAAUAAGCGGAGGAAAAGAAACUAACAAGGAUUCCCCUAGUAACUGCGAGUGAAGCGGGAAAAGCUCAAAUUUAAAAUCUGGUGGUCUUUUGGCCAUCCGAGUUGUAAUUUAGAGAAGCGUCUUCCGCGCUGGACCGUACACAAGUCUCCUGGAACGGAGCGUCAUAGAGGGUGAGAAUCCCGUCUUUGGUACGGACCCCCAGGGCUUCUGUGAUGCGCUCUCGAAGAGUCGAGUUGUUUGGGAAUGCAGCUCAAAAUGGGUGGUGAACUCCAUCUAAAGCUAAAUAUUGGCGAGAGACCGAUAGCGAACAAGUACCGUGAGGGAAAGAUGAAAAGCACUUUGGAAAGAGAGUGAAACAGUACGUGAAAUUGUUGAAAGGGAAACGCUUAAAGUCAGUCGCGUCGACCGAGACUCAGCCUCGCUCUGGCUUGGUGUAUUUCUCGGCCCGACGGGUCAGCGUCAAUUUGGUCCCUCGGAUAAUGGCAAGGGAAAGGUGGCACCUUUGCGGGUGUGUUAUAGUCUUUUGUCGCAUGCGAGGGGUGAGAUUGAGGAACUCAGCACGCGCGCCCUUCUGGGUGUGUCGGGGCCUCGGCCCACGCCACGUGCUUAGGAUGCUGGCGUAAUGGCUUUAAACGACC
rnacentral:rRNA from 1 species